GUAAAUUGCUUAUUAAUAGUCUGUAUGGUGCGUUAACCAAAUAACUCGGCGCACUUUAAACUAUGUGAAUUCAGGGGACAUCUCUAGUAGACAAUCCUGAGCGAAGCCUCUAUGAGGAACGUGCAACGACUAUCCGAAAGGAGUACGCCCAAGUGGGUGGAAGCGCAUAGCAUCUAUAAAGAUGAUGAUAUAGUCUGCUCUGCAUGGCGACAUGCAG
rnacentral:ncRNA from 1 species